rnacentral:rRNA from 1 species
UACGUAGGGUGCAAGCGUUGUCCGGAAUUAUUGGGCGUAAAGAGCUCGUAGGUGGCCUGUCGCGUCGGCUGUGAAAACUCGGGGGCUCAACUCCGAGCUUGCAGUCGAUACGGGCAGGCUAGAGUUCGGCAGGGGAGACUGGAAUUCCUGGUGGUAGCGGUGAAAUGCGCAGAUAUCAGGAGGAACACCGGUGGCGAAGGCGGGUCUCUGGGCCGAUACUGACACUGAGGAGCGAAAGCGUGGGGAGCGAACAGG